rnacentral:rRNA from 1 species
CGGUAAUUCCAGCUCCAAUAGCGUAUACUAAAGUUGUUGCAGUUAAAAAGCUCGUAGUUGGAUUUCUGUGCACCGGUUGUUGGUCUGCCUCUAUGAGGUGGGUCCUUCACCGUUGUACAUCCUGUUGGCAGACACGUGCUGGCAUUCAUUUGUCGGUGCGGGGAGACCACUCGUUUACUUUGAGAAAAUUAAAGUGUUCAAAGCAGGCAAUCGCUUGAAUACAUUAGCAUGGAAUAAUAGUAUAGGACUUUGAUCUUAUUUGUUGGUUUUAAAGAUCAAAGUAAUGAUUGAUAGGGACAGUUGGGGGCAUCAGUAUUCUGAAGCGAGAGGUGAAAUUCUUGGACCUUCGGAAGACUAACAACUGCGAAAGCAUUUGCCAAGGAUGUUCUCUUUAAUCAAGAACGAAAGUUAGGGGAUCGAAGACGAUCAGAUACCGUCGUAGUCUUAACUAUAAACUAUGCCAGCUAGGGAUCGGUGAACGUUGUUUCGACUUCAUCAGCACCUUAUGAGAAAUCAAAGCAUUUGGGUUCCGGGGGGAGUAUGGUCGCAAGGCUGAAACUUAAAGGAAUUGACGGGAGGGCACCACCAGGAGUGGAGCCUGUGGCUUAAUUUGACUCAACACGGGAAAACUUACCAGGUCCGGACAUAGUAAGGAUUGACAGACUGAAGGUCUUUCUUGAUUCUAUGGGUGGUGGUGCAUGGUCGUUCUUAGUUGGUGGAGUGAUUUGUCUGGUUAAUUCCGUUAACGAACGAGACCCCAGCCUGCUAAAUAGGUGGUUCCAUUAUGAUGGGAUCUUCUUCUUAGAGGGACUAUUGAGUGUCUAACCAAUGGAAGUUUGGGGCAAUAACAGGUCUGUGAUGCCCUUAGAUGUUCUGGGCCGCACACGGGCUACACUGCGGGGUUCAACGAGUAUAUACCCUGCGUAGAAAUGCGUAGGAAACCUUAUGAAAACCCCGCGUGCUUGGGAUAGACUAUUGCAAUUAUUAGUCUUCAACGAGGAAUUCCUAGUAAACGCAAGUCAUCAGCUUGCAUUGAUUACGUCCCUGCUCCUUGUACACACCGCCC